CGGGUUGGUUACGUUGCUCUGCGUAAGUUGACUGUUGACGUGAAAAUCCCGGCAAGUUUGAUGCAUUAGCGGGAGGGGCGUGGAGUGUGAUUGAACAAUGCGUUGCAGCCACGAUGCUGCCAGACCUGGAGGGUUAUCUCCAGCGCAGUCUUUGCAAAGUUCUGCAGAUAUCUGUCUGGAUAGGCAUACCAAUGUCAGCAUCCUUUCUCAGGAUGCUAUCCCCAGAAUUGAGGCACAUAUGACCAACUUGAAUGUGCAGGCUACAUUGUCCAUGUGCCUGACACAGACUCCCAACAUAAGUGUUCUACUCCUUCACUCCACAGUGGUGAGCAAUUGCUAAGAGGGCAGAGAAAAUGUUACAAGGACACCUUGAAGGCCUCCCUAAACAAAUGCAUCAUCCCCACUGACAUGUGGGAAUUGCAUGCCAUGGAAUGUACAAAUUGGAGAAGAAACAUCUGCAAAGGCACCAACCACUUCAAGCAUCAGUGAAUGGAGCACAUAGAGGCUGUGAAAAGAGUGCACAGAAUCCAGAGCAUCUAACCCACCUGCCUCACCAAACAUCACCUGCCCACCUGUGGUAGAGUCUGCUGGUCCAAAAUUACGCUAUUCAGCCACUGCAGAACCCACAACCCUUUGGGGUGGAAGCAAUUCAUCGUCAACUUUGAGGGGCUGCCAAAGAAGAAGAUACAGAUUUUUAAUCAGUAAGGUGAUCAAGGCUUAUGGCUAAUAGGCAGAAAAGUGGAGUUGAGGAUUAUCAGAUCAGCCAUGAUCUCAUUGAAUGGUGGAGCAGACUCAAUGGAUGGAAAAGCUGCCUGGAAAUGCGCAGCUCCUCGCUCAAGAAGCUGAACACCAUCAAGACAAAACAGUAAAUUAAUCAACACCCCAUUUACCAAAUUAAAUAUCUACUCCCUCCAGCGCUGACUUUAGUGUGUUCUAUUUACAGGAUGUACUAGAUGAACUUGCCAAGACUUAUUCAGCAGCACCUCCCAAACCUGUGAAGUGUAUCACCCAGAAGGAUGAGUUCAGAAGGAGCAUGGGAAUGCCAUUACCUUCAAAUUACACACCAUUGCAACUUUGAUGCAUAAUGUUUCCUCACCGUUGCUGGGUCACAUUCUUGGAAUGUCUGUCUUAUGGUAUUGUGGGAUUAUUUUUAUCACAUGGACUGCAGCAGUUCAGGGAAGCAGUUUACCACAACCCUCUUUAAAGCAACAUUGCAUUGGCAAGUAAUUUUAUCUUUGAUGUUGACAUCCAUGUCCUAUGAAUGAAUUAAAAAUAAAGGAGCUCAAGUGUCCUCAUAAUAAGUUUUCCAACCAGUCACUUUCCUAGUUAAUCUAUACUACAUACUUCCUACGAUCGUCAUGCCCUUUGUGUAAUGGGUGCCCAAAACUGCACACGCUGACCAACAUUUUGCUCAUGUACUCCAUGUGCCUAUUUAUAAA